AAGUCGUAACAAGGUCUCCGUAGGUGAACCUGCGGAGGGAUCAUCUGGGAUAUGGGAUGCGUGUAUCGGCCGAGAGGCCGGUACGCCGUCGAUACCCGCGAGGACGAGAAGCGGGGGUGCCGUAUCGGUGGAGACACUGGUAAGGGUGGCACCCCGGUGGCCGCGGUGUGCGGAGAGUGGACCGAUGGUCUGCUUUCCUGUAUGCCCGGCCGACACACACCCCGCACUUAGGUGCGUGUUGCUGGAUGCAGCUCGGCUGGUCAAUGCAUGGGCCUCGUGCCCUUGUGUGGCAGUCGCAUACCCACCGCGAACAAGCGCCUCGGCGCACCAAAAUCCAUACAACUUUUGGCAAUGGAUCUCUUGGUUCUC
rnacentral:misc_RNA from 1 species